ensembl:snoRNA SNORD34 Small nucleolar RNA SNORD34
CAGCGUCUGUGAUGUUCUGCUAUUACCUACAUUGUUUGAGCCUCAUGAGAAACUCCAUUGGCUGAGACGCAUG